UACGUAGGUGGCAAGCGUUGUCCGGAUUUACUGGGCGUAAAGAGCGCGCAGGCGGUCGUUCAAGUCGCGUGUGAAAGCCCCCGGCUCAACUGGGGAGGGUCACGCGAUACUGAUCGACUCGAAGGCAGGAGAGGGAAGUGGAAUUCCCGGUGUAGUGGUGAAAUGCGUAGAUAUCGGGAGGAACACCAGUGGCGAAGGCGGCUUUCUGGCCUGUUCUUGACGCUGAGGCGCGAAAGCCAGGGGAGCAAACGGG
rnacentral:rRNA from 1 species